CGCACCGUGACGGGAGAGUUCGGAUAUCGCGCGAUUUGCAUGAUAUCCGGCGCCGAAGGAGCAAUGCCUCAUAAACACUCUCAGGCAGAUGGACCGUCACGGAUAG
rnacentral:ncRNA from 2 species